CGUAGGGUGCGAGCGUUGUCCGGAAUUACUGGGCGUAAAGAGCUCGUAGGCGGUUUGUCGCGUCGUUCGUGAAACUUGGGGCUUAACUUCAAGCGUGCGGGCGAUACGGGCAGACUUGAGUACUACAGGGGAGACUGGAAUUCCUGGUGUAGCGGUGAAAUGCGCAGAUAUCAGGAGGAACACCGGUGGCGAAGGCGGGUCUCUGGGUAGUAACUGACGCUGAGGAGCGAAAGCGUGGGUAGCGAACAGGAUU
rnacentral:rRNA from 1 species